AUCCAACUGACGAGUCCCAAAUAGGAUAAAACUCGCGUCCUAGAU
rfam:Schistosoma mansoni, Puerto Rico, WGS project CABG01000000 data, contig: 0071